ensembl:ncRNA C14F11.11 ncRNA
GCAGACCUCCUUUUGAUUGCGCCCCUCUUUUCGCAUUCUAACUCUGUUCACGUGGUAUUUACCAAAAAAGUCGUCGGUGGGGUCGGCGAAGAUUCGAGACGAAGGUGAGAGCGG